rnacentral:rRNA from 1 species
GCCCUAAACCUCAGUAGUUAGAUAACAAAACUACUCGCCAGAAUACUACAAGCAACAGCUUAAAACUCAAAGGACUUGACGGUGCUUUACAUCCCCCUAGAGGAGCCUGUUCCGUAAUCGAUAAACCCCGAUCCACCCUACCCUCUCUUGCUCAGCCUAUAUACCGCCAUCUUCAGCAAACCCUAAUGAGGGCCACAAAGUGAGCGCAAACGCCGUCGCCGCGAAUACGUUAGGUCAAGGUGUAGCCCAUGAGACGGUAAAAAAUGGGCUACAUUUUCUAUUUCAGAAAACCCACGAAAACCCUUAUGAAACUUAAGGGUCCAAGGAGGAUUUAGCAGUAAAUUAAGAAUAGAGUGCUUAAUUGAACCAGGCCAUAAAGCGCGCACACACCGCCCGUCACUCCUCUCAAAUAUAUUUAAGGAAUAUCCUAACUAAACGCCCUAAUAUUUAUAUAGAGAGGAUAAGUCGUAACAUGGUAAGCGUACUGGAAGGUGCGCUUGGAUAAAU